rnacentral:rRNA from 1 species
GACGAACGCUGGCGGCGUGCCUAAUACAUGCAAGUUGAGCGCUCAGGCGUGGUGCUUGUUCCUAUUAGGUUAGCAGCGGACGGGUGAGUAACACGUGGAUAAUCUACCUUUAAGCCUGGGAUAACUUUGGGAAACGGGUGCUAAUACCGCAUAAUAUCUUUAAACACAUGGUUUAAUAUUGAAAGAUGGUAUUGCUUCACUUUAAAGUUAGCCCCCGUUGCAUUAGCUAGUUGGUAAGGGAAAGGCUCACCAAGGCAAUGAUACAUAGCCGACCUUACAGGGUGUCCGGCCACACUGGAACUGAGACACGGCCCAGACUCCUACGGGAGGCAGCAGUAGGGAAUCUUCCGCAAUGGGCGAAAGCCUGACGGAGCAACGCCGCGGGAGGGAUGAAGGUCUUCGGAUCUUAAAACUCUUUUAUAAGGGAAGAACAAAGGGGGAAUGAACUGUGCACGUCUUGACGGUACCUAAUCAGAAAGCCACGGCUAACUACGUG